GUUAAAAAGGAAAAUUAUACAGGUAGUACAGAGGAUAGACCUGGUAGCCUUUUUCACCCUGUGCACAGGCUGGGUGGUUGGCCUAGAAAUUCCCCUUUGGUGUCCUAAGUCCUGCACAAGCUGCCCCCAGCACCCCAGCAUCCCAACAGUCCCAUCUUGCUUGGAAGUUGUGCUCUCCUGCCCUUCCACUCUGCCCACACCACAGGCGAGCUGUCACUGAGCAUCAUUAUGGAGAUCCUGACAAAAGUACAAAAAGCACACUGGUAUUUGUUCACCCAGAUCAGGGUGCCGGAGACAUUAACUUCAUUACAAGACCACUAGGUGGCAAUUUAGCAGCCCUGUUGUGAAUGUUUAAUGUAUUCAAUUUCUUUAUUGCAUUAGACACAAACUUGAUGAAUGGAAAACUGAAAAAUUUAUGGAAAAUCUGUACUAGGUUUUCCAGACAGAUAUGCUGAAGUCUUUUUGUUUACUGUACCCCUCCCAGAUGUUCAUUAAAUUCAGUGAGUGCUUCUGAACAUUGCAGUGAGCACCUCUGGCUGGGUGGCAGUACAGGGAAUUAUCGAUUGUCAUGGAAAUAUCAGAGUUCUUCUAACUAUUUAAUGUUGCAGUCUGUAUAAAAGUUGUAGCUAAUGAGGAGAAGGACCCUGUCCACAGCCAUAGCUGUAUGAUCAUGAGAUAGCUUUCUGCAUAUACUGAAGGUGUAUUUGUGUGGCAGCAGGAGAGCUACAGUGGCUUUUGUCUCUAACUGCUGAAUGUAUCUGUGGUGAUUUCACAUACCCCUCUCCCUGCUAACCAAAGACCAGGAAGAUGGCAUGAGCCAUUUUCCUAGAAGUUAAAAGCUGUUUUCCUUAAAAGCAACUAUGAUAUGGUUGUCUGAGAGAAUUAAAUUGCUGCAGAAGACAUUUCAUGUGUGGAAGAUUUAAGACUGGCAUCUAAACAGAGAAGAGUUGUGUCUUUCAUCUUUAAAGGAGCCAAGAAGGGGAUUCUCACUUAAGCAAAUGAGAGCCCCAACCAGCACCUCCCAGUAACAACCAGUUAUGAGGGCCUGUGUUUCAGGUGAGUCCUCCAAGGGAGCCCAGGGCUUUCUGUAAAGCUGCUGCCCAACCUCUUUUAAAAAACGGUCUCUUGUUCUCUGUGCUUAGGAGCUGGAGAAGCCCUGCAAAUACUUAUAUUGUUAAAGGUUCACCCCUGCAAUGGGAGAAAAAAGUCACUCUGUCUUCCACGGUUUUGUUGUGGAACAGGUUGAGGGAACCCAAACAGAAACUGCAAAGCUCUCUGGCAAAGGUUUUCCUUAUUUGACACUGCUUCUUCCUGUUAAGUAGUUGCUAAUUACAUUUGAAAAGUCUUGUACUUGAACUUUUUCUUAGAAAACCUCAAGUACAAGCAUGAAAAGCAUUUUUCAUGUGCACACUGAGAAGCUUGAUGUUCAGUCGAUAACCAGUAGCAGUAGGAACCUACUUUCCAUAAAAAAAGUCUUAAAAAUUCUUUUAUCCAAAAAGCAUUCGAAAAAUGAGCAUUUUCUGUACUUUGAGGAAACAAAGUGGGGGUUUGGUUUUGUUUUUUUUUAUCAAAUAAAUUGAUUUUGAUCCCUGGCAGCUGUUUUUUUCUUUAACAAAAAAUCAAAUAGUUUCAUAACAUUAUCGUUUUGACAAAGUAACAAUAUUCCAAACACUCCUUUUUUCCCUGUAAGCCAAAACAAGUUAGUAUAUAUGGACAUUUCAAAACAUCUGGCUUUAAGCCACUCAUUUUUAAUUCAUUUUUACAGAAAUUGCUGUGUUAUUUGUUGCCUAUAUUAUUUCUUCUCUUUAGGUCAAAAAGAAAUAACCAGCCAAUAACCUCUUCCAUUCUACAUUUGAAACUCAUUAAAAAAAAAUAUCCCUCAAAUGCACUGUUAUCUAAAUAACAUACUUAAAACCUGAACUCUGAAUAGAAAUUAAAGGCUAUAGGGUAAUUUUUUCCCAAUUUUUUUGCGAAUUAUAACAGUUGUCUUCCUACUUUAUAGCUGUCUUUUAUCUUCCAGCAGUGACACCCACCAUCUGACUUAUGAUCUCUCUACAGGAAGUCAUUGAGUGACACAAUAGAGUUAAUGAAUUGGUCUUUCACCUCCAAAACCCUGAUCUAAAUGCUAGCCUGAGAUAAUGAGCAUGAUGGAGUUCAGUAGUGUCAGCAGAGUAUUAACUUCUGUUUAAAGGAAGAAUGAGUACUGGCAGGAAAAUGGAUUUUAAGAGAGAUUUGGAGCAAUUGCACCUGCAUGCAUUAUGGCAACUCUAGCCUUCCUUCAUUAGAGUCAUAUUCACAUUAUCUCUUUGCCAUUUGAAUAGAAUUUGGCAGAGGUUUAUCUGCAAAGCCUGUGAUUUAUCAGGGUUCUUUAUAGAUAUUUAAGUUCCAUACCACUCUGUCUAAGCACAACACCUUCAGUACCUGGCGGUUUACUGUCAGGAUAGUUCUAUAUAGAGAAUCAGGAGCACUUUAACCGGUCAAGGGAAAUAUUUACUCUCAGACACAUACAUAAUGACAGCAUAUCUCAGGAAAAUACCCUGCUACCAUCUAGUAAGCACUGGGUUAACUACAGAAGUCAGCAGGACUGACAGCAUGUUCAUCUUCCUAGUGCAAAAAGGCCAAAUACAGUUUAUUUCACUGAGGAUCUCUAUCCCUGCUGAAAGUGGAUUAUUGGGGUGCAUUGGAAGCCUUUAGCAUCUAUAGAACUUGCUUCGUCUUUCCUUUUUGGAGAGACUAGUAAGAGGUCAGCAACACCCUUCCAAGCAGUUGAUCAUUCACAGACAUACUACAGACUAUCAAAUCAUCUGGCCAAAGGCGAAAAAAAAAAA